ACCUGCCUUUUACCGGGGGAUAACGAUGGGAAACCAUCGCUAAUACCGCAUGAGACAGCAGUCUGGCAUCAGGCAGCUGUUAAAGAUUCAUUGGUAAAAGAUGGGCCUGCGUCUGAUUAGGUAGUUGGCGGGGUAAGAGCCCACCAAGCCGAUGAUCAGUAGGGGUUCUGAGAGGAAGAUCCCCCACACUGGCACUGAGAUACGGGCCAGACUCCUACGGGAGGCAGCAGUAGGGAAUAUUGGGCAAUGGUCGCAAGACUGACCCAGCCACGCCGCGUGCAGGAAGAAGGCGCUCAGCGUUGUAAACUGCUUUUAUCCGGGAAGAAUAAUCACUACGGGUAGUGAGAUUGACGGUACCGGGUGAAUAAGCACCGGCUAACUCCGUGCCAGCAGCCGCGGUAAUACGGAGGGUGCAAGCGUUGUCCGGAUUUAUUGGGUUUAAAGGGUGCGUAGGCGGCGCCUUAAGUCCGGGGUGAAAGACGGCCGCUCAACGGUCGCAGUGCCCUGGAUACUGAGGUGCUUGAGUACAGGCGAGGCUGGUGGAACGGGUGGUGUAGCGGUGAAAUGCAUAGAUACCAUCCAGAACACCGAUUGCGAAGGCAGCCAGCCAGACUGUCACUGACGCUGAGGCACGAAAGCGCGGGGAGCAAA
rnacentral:rRNA from 1 species